GACGAACGCUGGCGGCGUGCCUAAUACAUGCAAGUCGAGCGCAGGAAACUGACGGAACUCUUCGGAGGGAAGGCAGCGGAAUGAGCGGCGGACGGGUGAGUAACACGUAAGGAACCUGCCUCAAGGAUUGGGAUAACUCCGAGAAAUCGGAGCUAAUACCGGAUAGUUCAUCGGACCGCAUGGUCCGCUGAUGAAAGGCGCUCCGGCGUCACCUUGAGAUGGCCUUGCGGUGCAUUAGCUAGUUGGUGGGGUAACGGCCCACCAAGGCGACGAUGCAUAGCCGACCUGAGAGGGUGAUCGGCCACACUGGGACUGAGACACGGCCCAGACUCCUACGGGAGGCAGCAGUAGGGAAUCUUCCACAAUGGACGAAAGUCUGAUGGAGCAACGCCGCGUGAGUGAUGAAGGUUUUCGGAUCGUAAAACUCUGUUGUAAGGGAAGAACACGUACGAGAGGAAAUGCUCGUACCUUGACGGUACCUUACGAGAAAGCCACGGCUAACUACGUGCCAGCCGCCGCAGUAAAAC
rnacentral:rRNA from 1 species